rnacentral:lncRNA from 1 species
GAUAAAGUUCAUCUUUACGAAUAGAUAGAAAAAAGUUGUAGAUUUAUAUUUUCUGUCUUAUGAAACUUUAUUGACCUUUGACCUCUUUUGACAACACUAGUUUCUUUACACGUGCCUCGGAGCGCUAAGAUUUGCCUCGUUUUUUUUAAAAGAUCAUUUGCUGGAGGAUCACCCGCUGUUUGAUGUCGGUGCCUCUUAUUGUCUCUUUUCCAACUAUAUUUAUGCGGCCUGUGGUGGCCACCACCGACAGAUGCUGGCUGGUCACGUGACCGGUUAUUGUCACAGCGGCUGGUCAUUGAACCAAACACCGAUAUUGUCUGUCGGCGUCCAGCAGCCGAAUGAAGCAAUUGGAACAAAGUUACGGAAGAAAAUGCAGAAGUUUAGGAAAUGCGGCCGGAAAUCACAUCCGCCGGAAUACAUCCGCCCAAUUCCGUCUGUGGAAGGGAAACGUUGCCUAUCGAACGUGGCCUGUGGUGAGGAGGAAGGUGACCCGUUUAGAUUCUUCCAUGUUUCGCUCCAAUGGGGAACAAUUAAAAUGUUAAACGGGCAUUUAUUGCCAGGUUUCUUUCAAAAUGGCACUUUGUUGCUCGGUCGCUCUCUUCCCGGAUUUAAUUAGGUGCGUCUGUCUAGAAAUAGUUGAGGACGUUAUGCUUCAGACGGAUAGAGAAAGAAAAGGAGAAGAAAAAAAAGAGUUACUGCAUUUCAUGUCUCGUUAACCACCCAAUGAGAGAUUAGCCUUCCUUUGACGCGCUGCAUUUGAGACUUACGUUACCGGAUAAUUGAUUACUCCGGUAAUUAUUGGUCUGAAGAGGAAAGCAUCGUUACAACCCAAACCGAAGUUUCGGUGAUUGGAUAUUUGAAGAAGUAGAUUGGACUGAGUUGCUGACGUCAGCGCUCCGAUGUAGGAGCCACCCAGAGGUCACGUAUUCAAUUCGUGACGCCACAUGCGUGAAAAUUUUUGCAAAUUGGUCUAUUGUUUGUAUUUAAAGAAACCCAAAUUAUUCGUCAACAAGGCGAAACCUUAGGAAAUAAUAAAAAUAAGAAUAACUAUUGUGGUAACGCGAGAGCCAACAUGUUCAAUGAGCCACUCUUGAGUAUGCUAUAAAAAAGGGAAGAUCCACAGCUUGACGUACUAAUCCCCAUAGACUUAUCUGAACGAUGCACUCUACUCCGCACGUACAGAAUAUGUCGGGAUUAGGUUCCUGAGGGAGAAGAGCCGAGAAGGAAAAACUUGCAAGAUAAAGGAAGAAGACCCGCAGCCCGAGGCAAGACGGUUUGUUUCUCUGGGGAAGACACGACGGUUUAAUCAGUAAAUGGUCAGAAAGGAAAAGAAAAGUCCUCUUUUUCUCGUCUCGUAGAUGUUAUCUUCUGCCUUUCAUUGUUAGUGGGUGAAUCGUAAAGAUUUGGAGAUGUCUUUCUCUAAAGUCGGUGGCUGAGCGCACCUCCUUCAAUUGCAGGAUUCUCAUCAUUGAUUCUAACCAACUGUUCAAUUCCUAGAUAUUUUACAUUUGUUUUGGUGUAAAUUGGAAGAGAGCGCCAACAAAUUUAAGAUUCCCCAUAAUUAAGUUAAAGUCUGACACUAUCUAUAAUUUAAUAAAUAAAUUUUUAAUGGAGGCGCAGUCUGUCGAUGUGUCACUAACAUCUUUAAUGGAGUCAACAUUAAUUUAUCAUCACUCGCUUUAGCCGAUGCUAACCAAUCGGUAGGUGGUCCUCCCCACUUGCCCCUAUAUUGACACAAAGAUUGACAUCCCAUUAAUCAUAGCCAGAGAAAUCCUUUUGCUUUCGUGAUUCACGCUGUUCGAACGUGACACUUCUCCCAGCAACUGGACACACUGAUGUCACUCAGUGAUUAGUUCCCGGAGUGACUGGAGCCAAGGUGCAGUUGGCACGUAUUCACCCCAAGUUCUUCAGACUUAAUGGUCACCUUUGUUAGUAGUAUGUACGUCGAUGACGUCAUAACCGAACGAUUUUAAGUGGACCACUUGGUCUUUCCGAGUAGGCGGCCGUGCAUUAAGGGCGCAGUGUGCAGCUAAAAGCCAGCUGGCGAAGUAACGAUCGGGCUGAUGAGGAACAGCCAACGCACCAUUUUUAAAGCAGUAAAUGAAGAGAAGUUUCAUUGCCGUGUUGUCGGGUCGUUUACCCCACGUGGUCCAACAGAUAAGCCGAAAAUGAAAAAAAAGAGAAAGGGAUCCUCGUUUUCACUCUUAUUGAAUCGAUGAGAGUAACACGCAGGAUAAUCGAAUAGUCGGAAAUAUCUCUCACUUUAGGUUCUUUAUGACUGUUAACAGAUUCUAUCUCUGCAUGGAAUCGUUUCUUUCUCUCCUGACUUCUGAUCUGUGCAAUUUCUAGAAAACCUUUAAUACCACGUUUAUAUCGUCUGACAGGUAAGUGUAAAAACUCCAAUCACGUUUAAAAUCUUCUAUAGAAUAUUAUUUAGAUUUAUAUUAUUAUUUUCUGGUUUUAUCGAAUAAAACGAAUUCAUUCGAUUCUUCUCUUUUGAACGCGCUUCUCUGAAAAAGUUAGAGAUUUUCAUUUUGGAAAAUAUAAAUUUAUUUCCUAACCGAGGGUUUGGUUGGGUCGAAACAUUUAUCAAAUCGACAACGUUCAUAAUAAAUACGAAAGGUUAAACAGUCGAGAGUGAAAACGUUAGUGUGUCCUCGAGUCGAGCAAUUCCUUCCAGAAGCACUUCCUGCCAAACCGAUGGACUAAAACUACUCCCGCUCAACAAUAUCACCAUCUUAUCUUUUUCUAUUCCUCUCAUGACGAUAAGAAUGGCGAGUAUUUAUUCCAUCUAGCAGUAAGUAGAGUAGUCAGUUGAAAAAAUAAACACGGACGAAAAUAUCCCUUCUAUCGUGUGAUCGCAUUUCCACUUGUCCCCUCCAUCUGUCGUCUUCCAGAAAAUUGGAAAUGCCACGUGAAUUCUAAUUGCAACUUUUAUAUUUAAUUAACUCUGUUAUUGUUUACAUUGAUCUCGAUUAAAAAAAAAGAAAAGUUGGAAAAUUGGAUUUUAAGAACCGAUCCAUGUUUUUGCUAUUCGUAUUUGAAAAAGUUUGAAUAGGAAGUGGUUAUCGGAUUAAUUUUAAGAUUUAUUCUACUUUAUAUUGAUCCGAAUCGAAUCCAAAUCGGAUUUAGAAAGCAAUUUGUCUCCAAGAAAAGAUUUAGGAUCCAGUUAGAAUCCUUCGUGCAUGAUUUAAUACGUUAUAAAUUUAUAAAGAUUCUUAUUGCUAUUAUUUAAAUUUUUGUGUAAUUUAAAAAAAGUGUUGUUUUAUCCGAAAUUUUCUUUUAAAAAGUAGAGCAAUUAAGUUUUUUAAGUAACGACUUUUAUUUUGUGUUAUAUGAGAAGACGUCACUUUUAUUCAUCCGCAGCAUUCAAAACUAGUGGGAUAAUAGAGCGAAGAGAAUGAGGAAUGCGACAGCUAUCUAGUCUAAGAGGGAGUGCUGGAAAGAAUUAAAAUCUUUCAGACAUUCGCGUCCAUGCUGUUGCCUUGACAACUUUGCUUUACUACACGCAAACAACCCAGUGGGAUUUUUCAACUUAUCGGAGAACAAACGGAGGGCCAAAUAGCUCGUUCUUUACUCCAUUUACGUUAAAGUAGGCGGCUCACGCACUACCGACUAAAUGACACUUUGGCCAGAAGUCUGAUGGGAAUUUAAAGCGACGUCGCCUUUCACUUCCACUCAUAAGUUUCCACUUUGUGCCCGCUUCGUUUCUCCAUCCCUAUAACAUUCAAUAACCCAUUAACAACAGUUGGCCCGUAAUUCCUACCCUAAUCUAUAGCGAGUAAUCUCUUAAGGGUGCAUAAAUGUAAAAGUGUUGCUACGGGUGCUCUUCGAUUAGAAUGGCAUAGUGGUGGUUUACGGGGCGAAGGCAAACAGAGAGUGCACGCUACUUAAUCACCUUUAUUCACGCCAUUGAGCAAUAUUAUAUUGUUACAGUUUGUACACGUUGUGUAAUGGCAGCUGCAACCGGUCGUGAUUCGCGAUUUUAGGAGUUUAUAUUAAUGUCUGGCCAACUCCGGUAAUCCGCAUUCGUUUCUAUCCAUUUAUAAGGAAGGCGACACGAAUGAAAAACAGUACACGGUUCCACCCAGCAUUCACCGUUACAAUUAAUUCUAUGCCCAGUUAUUAUUGCUAUCUCUAUGUCGACAGCGCAUUUUAAGCAUUCUCUGUAGGCAAUACUUAUCAAAAAUGGAUCUGUCAUUUUUAAUUUACAGAUUAUCGAGAAAAUUUAAUUUUUAAUUCUUACCUUAAUAUUGAUAUUUCGAUUUAGAAGAGCGAAGAUGUCGUUGGUAGGCACCGACCGCUUAAUCUUUCUUGGCUUUCUGUACUCAGACUUCUGGACAUCUCGAUCCCUUUUCUCUCAUUUGUCAACAGUUGUCAUUUUCUUCUCGCAAGAUCGGAGGAAGAGUAUUUCUUCCUCCCGGAAUAAGAUAAGUCACACCCUCUUCGCGCUAGACGAAUAAAUAAUAAAUUAAUCAUUUUUAAAAACAUGUCUUGGCACAAGUCGACUUUUCGUUUCUCCGAUAAUUAUGGUAUUUAGCAUUCGAUUAAUCAUCUUCCAUGAUUAGUAGAUGAGUCUGGUCGAAAGGUGCUAUUUUAUGGUUAUUUUUAAACUUACGACAGAAUAAUAGCAGUAUUUCUUAUUAUUAUAUUUCACGGAGUUUUAGCGUAAUCAUUUUCCUGGUCUUGUUAAUCCUCCAUAGAUAUCGAAGUUUAUUAAAUACAGUUUAUUAAGCGGAUAUAAUUGGCUUUAAUCAAAUCUGUCUGAUUCUAGCUGGGUUCGGCUCUUCAGAUUCUGUUUUAUUCGUUAGGAGCGUGUCCUCGGGGAUUAAUUACCGAUUUUGUUUAGUAUAUAAGUCGUUUAGAGGGGCAAUCAUUCUUAUUCAAUCGCAGGCGUUGCAAAUGAUGCUCGGAUGAUACACAUCCAUCGAUAGUGGAGGCAGAGUGUGGGGAAGUCACGUAAACCAUCACCGAUGGUAGAGUGCCCCCGAAAAAAGUGCUGCCAACGUAGCUAAUAGCCUUCCCGGUUGUUUAAUUCCCACUAAUUGGGAAGGCAACCCACUCCCCUUCUCUCGCGCCGUCCGUCAUUCGCACGUGCGUGGAAGGGAUCCUAUCGAUCUGUUCCCUGUUGAACGUGGUCUGCGCUCGGCCCUUUAAUGAUCUGAGCCGUUAAGCCUAAUUCCUUCUAUUUAUAUGCACUUUCCGGUCGGCUGAGUACCGUCCUCGCGAGUUACGACGUGUGGUAUGCAAUAGUCGUUUUGUAGUACCCCCGCUUCCCUUCACGCCUUGCUACUCCGGGAAUGCGAUUCAAUAUGUUUUUGGUUAGUGUGUAUGUAGCGUUCUUUUUCCAAUUUCUUGAACAGUUUGUUACGAACCGUUCCUUAAGUAGUUUACCUCUUCUUUCUUCUCUCCGAUAUUUCGAUUAACGAAGUAUUUGAAGUGUUGUAACCUCCGCGAUUUCUCUUCUCUUUGCAUUAAGUCGAGAUGUUAAAAUAUGCAGGAAAAUCGGAUAGCUAAGGUAUGUUAGGAUUGUUUUUAUCAUCUGUCUUUUUUAAUUACAGUAGGAAUUUCGAUACCGACUGGUCGCACCAAUGCGCUCUUUAGACUAAUCCCAUUUAUUUUCCAUUAAAAAAGACAUUCGUGACUAGUUUAGGUUUUUUUACUUCCUCUCUUUCUCUCUCUUUGUCUAAUUUUUGCUAGACACGGUCGAUAGAAGGUUGUAUGUUUUGGUUAAAGGAAGAUUUUUCCAGGUUUCCAUACGGAAUUGAGUUUUACAAGUUUCAAUCAAUCGCCUCCGACAGGUAACAGCUCCCGUAGGUGUAGAAAGGAUAAAGAGCUGAUUGGAGCUAGAACCAUGUCGUGAUUUCUCCUGUGUUUCUAUUAGGUUGAGUUUACUCCUUCGUUCGACAUGAUUGAGAACUUUCUACGGCCAAGAGAAAAACUAGAACAACCGAGAAAGAAUAUCCUGAGAACAUUUUAAGUUUUUUUUUUUUUUAUAUUCAAUUUGCUAAUCGUCUUCUCGCUGGUAUAUCAAGGAUGCAAUAAAAAACCUUCAUUUAAAAGGAGGAAAAAAAAAAUUGGAAAUCCAAUCUGCCUAACUUCUGUUUUGAUUCCCGCGCGGUCGAAAUCCUAAAUCAAACGAUUUUAAAUCAAGAAAAAUGCUCCAAAUCGUAUUUUCGUUCCGGUUGUUACGAAAACCGGUAGGAGAUCAUCUAUCACUUCGGUAUGGACAAAAUUGACAAGCCGUUUGGCCACGCGGGACCGAGUGGCACACCUGAGGCAGAUCAUUGUGUAUGUGAGUUAUCUGGCCCAGCCAAUGUCACUUAUCUAUAUUUCAGUAGCAUCCUCCAGGCCCUUCUCUAUUCAGUGGUUAACGUCUGGUUCAGAUCGUCCCUCUUUUGUCGUAAGAUGCUUAAAUUGAUGACGGUAACGGUUAUGCGCGUCAAAACAGCUGCAUUAGUAGCUUGUAAUCUACUAUAGUGUGGCGGAGGAUAUUAAGGAAAUGUGGUCUCAUUUCCUUAAUAGGUGGGUGAAGUGCGCUCCCAACUUUUCUCUCGAGAUCUCGUUUGACUGCGGGCUCUUAAAACGUCAUAAUCCUCUGGACUUCCGAUAUGCCAAAGGAUAAUCUGCACAAUUUAAUUAUCAUUCCAGGCCAUUGUCUUUGGCAUAAUCUAUAACAAUCGAGUCGCUUCCUCCUGUCACAGCCUUCAGCUCUCAUUUUCUAGUAAAUAUCACAGAACAGAUCAGCUAACAGAAUCUUUGGCGGAAAAGAUAGGUUUAUCUUAAUUUGUUUUGAUUCAGAAACUUGUUUCGUCGACUAUUAGAACCGCUACAAUAUUUAUAUUUUGAUAAAUUUUCUA